rnacentral:rRNA from 1 species
GGAGGGGGCAAGCGUUGUUCGGAAUUACUGGGCGGUAAAGGGCGCGUAGGCGGGAAGAUCAAGUCAGGGGUGAAAGGCCUGGGCUCAACCCGGGAACUGCCUUUGAAAACUGGUUUUCUAGAGUACGGGAGAGGAUGGCGGAAUUCCCAGUGUAGAGGUGAAAUUCGUAGAUAUUGGGAAGAGCACCGGUGGCGAAGGCGGCCAUCUGGCCCGGUACUGACGCUAAGGCGCGAAAGCGUGGGGAGCAAACAGGAUUAGAUACCCUGGUAGUCCACGCCGUAAACGAUGUGUGCUAGCCGUUGGGGCUUCAGGUCUCGGUGGCGCAGCUAACGCGUUAAGCACACCGCCUGGGGAGUACGGCCGCAAAGGUUA